AGCGAACGCUGGCGGCAGGCCUAACACAUGCAAGUCGAACGAAGUCUUCGGACUUAGUGGCGGACGGGUGAGUAACACGUGGGAACGUGCCUUUAGGUUCGGAAUAACUCAGGGAAACUUGUGCUAAUACCGAAUGUGCCCCUCGGGGGAAAGAUUUAUCGCCUUUAGAGCGGCCCGCGUCUGAUUAGCUAGUUGGUGAGGUAAAGGCUCACCAAGGCGACGAUCAGUAGCUGUUCUGAGAGGAUGAUCAGCCACAUUGGGACUGAGAAACGGCCCAAACUCAUACGGGAGGCAGCAGUGGGGAAUUUUGCGCAAUGGGCGAAAGCCUGACGCAGCCAUGCCGCGUGAAUGAUGAAGGUCUUAGGAUUGUAAAAUUCUUUCACCGGGGACGAUAAUGACGGUACCCGGAGAAGAAGCCCCGGCUAACUUCGUGCCAGCCGCCGCGGUAACAC
rnacentral:rRNA from 1 species